ACCACCUCCCGGAGGGAGGGAGUGGGGAAAGAGGCAGUGAUCCGCCGCAGCUCCCAGCCGCAACUCCUAAACUCAGCGGCUCCCUGCCCGGACUAGUCCAGACAAACUUGGUUUCUCUUCGGCCCUCUCUCUAGCCCUCGCGCACUCUCAUUUCUCCUCCUUUUGGUGCUCAAGUUUCACCCAGGACCGAAGCCUCUAGAGAUGGGGCCACCUGGGCUGCGCGGGCGCUUCGCACUCUCGUUGGGGACAAGCUGAAGAUCCGAGGGUAGCAAAGUUGGUACUUCUGGCACGGCUUUUUUUUUUUUUUUUUUUUUUCUUAAACAGCCAAAUCGCGUAGGGAUUACAGAGCUGCUCGGACUUCAACGCGGAGCAACGAGGACUCGGCUGGACGAGUGAGUUCCUUUCUUAGUGCAAGCCUUUUUGUAUUUAAGUUUAAACGUAAAUGAAAUUACGUGGUGUUUGGCUAGUACAGGGAAGCGAAUGCAUCCUACAGGCUUUCCGCUCCGGUUGUGCUUGGCUCGGAAUGAAAGAUCAGUAUGCAUAGGUUUUGGAAUUCAUAAAAUACUUACAGGGCACUGUUGAAAAGAACUUGAAAAGCUAUGCUGUUUGUGCAUUAUUUCGAAUGUAACUUAUUAUAGAAAUGGUGCCCAGGGAGGACGCAUCGGGUGCGCGUGAUCUGCAGUGGCGCAGCGCCCUCUAGUCCGGAUACCCGGCAAAGCGCGCGCUCCCUGUGGGGUUCUGAGCCCACCACGAACUUGGACCUGCCGGUUCUGGGACGUGGGCUUGAGGCAGGUCAACAAUACCCUGGGCUUCAGUUAUCACCCACUAAGGUCGGUUUUAUGUCUAAUAUACAAAUACCAGCUUGGGUGGACUGGAUGCAAAGGCGGUGCUUGGCAGAAAGCUUUUUCUGUUUUUGGGAACCCACUCCCAUCCUCCUAAUUUUCUUGAGCCUCUGGGGACUGGGUUAGGAAGGAUCGACUAUUGAGAGGACAAGUGAGGAGCUUGAACUACAUUUCUCGUUCAUAUGAAGGUAAUGUGAUAGUAGCAAAAAGGCAUCUCUUUUCGUUCUGUUGGGGCUAAAGGAUCAGUAAAAACGUGGCUGCACUGGCCUCUGAAACCUCCAUCUCUGGCUCUCGGCUGUUCCUGUGGCGACAAAGUGCAACUUCUUCCAGGCAAUUAGGUUUCUCAGGGAAUCCGGUGAAUCGGAAUUUCCAAACAGAUGUUUUAGUCCAAGUGAUCAUUGUUAUUUAUUAAUGAACGGUAAUUUUCUCCAGGAAUUCUUUUGUCCCAUUUAAAAAAUCUUGUGAUUUUAUCUUGCAGAAUGUUGUUCUAUCUUUUACUGUUCUCCACCCCCACCGCCCCCCAAACAAACUGUUGGCGUUCAUGGGUGAUUGUGUUCUGCUUGGAGUUAGAAUUCAGCAAGGGGCACAAAAGAGUUGAGCUUAGCGAUCAGGUCACCUUUUUUCCACGUUUUCCAUGUAUGAAAUUGACCUGUAACUCUAGGAGCCCUUUGCGCAGUUAUGGCUGUGGCUGGGUGUUUGGAUGAUGAUGAUGUUUGUUGCACGGGUGAAUUUGUGCGUAUUCUAAAUAAUUGGCAGGGAAUAUGCCACAUUCUCAUAGUGCUACGAAUCAGCACACUCAGUCUGCAGGCAUUACUUUUCCUUCCUAACCAUAACCUGCCCACACUUGUUUUUUUUUUCCACUCACCUUCUUUGAGAUGGUGUAAGAGGAGACUGCAUUAACUUUGAACUAAGGCAAUUCCCUCUUUAACCCUAGAUUCCCUCGCCCUCGUGGUUCCCCCUGCAGCCCCCCUCCACCGGUUCCAGGGAAAUCAUAUCUCUUUGUCCUCACAGUGUUAACAUAUUUGAGCUCCACAAACUUUCUGAGGUCAUGUCCGCCCUCUUCUGAGGGCUGUUUCCCAACGGCCGGGAGCACUCCUGGCAGCGCUGAGCCGGCGUCUGGAGCUUUGCCUGAGCUGAGGCUGGGCUCACAGCCCCGGGAUGCCCGGACCUCGCUCUUGGGCUUGGGGGGCGGGGGGAGUUCCCCGAGUGGGACGUCUGGACACCCAGGGUUUCCCCUUCUCCGCGAGGAACUUGUAGAUUCUCAUUAGACUGAGUUCACAGUUUGCAGGCUGUACUUACCGGGUGGGAAAGCGCACGAGGCGGCACCGCUGUCCUUUGUCCCGCAGACCUGGGAGCCGGGGGUGUCUGCCUGGGAAGGCCGGCGUUGAGGUUCGUUACCUGGGCGGGGGAGGUUCCGGGGUCCAGCUGGCUCUGUGAAAAGAGGUCGCGGAAAAAGCUUUUUCAUUUGCCCGGGAUCUUAGCGUAGAUUGAAGAAGUCGAUUCCGAUCUAACUGCAUUCUUUUUGAGAUCUUUUGGAAGAUUUUAUUCCACUGAGCUAAUGCAGACCUACAACCAAGGCAUUCAAAUGCAGAUUUAGCAAUUCCCUUAAGGUUCCCGAGAAUCAAAAGAGAAUAGGCGUGGGAAGCGCUUUUUUUUUUUUUUUAAUUGUUAAGCUAAUGUUUCCCUUCCUAGCAGAGAAUAUUCUAUAUUAAUUCCCUCCACAAAUCUGUGUGUUGGCCAUAACUCCGCACUAGAGCGAGGCCCAGACUGUUCCUCGGGGUGUCGCUAGAUUAUCCUGCGCACUCUAGUCUCUUCGCUUAGAGUUGGCUGCUGUAGCUGCAGGGAGAUCCCUGACCCUAGGCGGGGGAGCCCUAGCCCCAAUCCCCGGGUCUGGGAGUCCGGCUGCCGGAGAAAGUCAGGUCGAGUUUCCCCGCGGAAGAAACGAGAGCCGGCGCUUGCGGGCGUGGCCGCGGGCGGAGGGAUAUAUCCCCGCGCCGUGCUUGUAAGACGCGGGGGCCCAACCCCGCGGCUUUGGAGCAGGCUGCAGGACGCAGCCUUGGAGCGAGGCGUGCGGGGAGCGAAGGUGGGCCGCCAAGACCAUGCGGUCCUGCGGGACCUGCGAAGUCCCCGGCAGGCCGGGACCCCCCUCGGGGGCGCGCUGAGGCGAGAGUGCGCGCCCUGGAGAGUGCCGCCUUCGCUUCAGGCCAACUUUGCUGUAAGUUUGAGGGAAACCAAGCUGGGGCUUGAGUGCCGUGGGCGAGGGUUGAGCGGCGCGCUCCGUGCCAAUACCUGGCCGAGCAGGAGCCCUCUGUGCCUGGGGCACGGGCAACUUGCUGCGGCGCGGUGGCGGGCUUUUUACUCCGUGAGACCUUGCUUCUACCCAGCCCUGGACAGUGCACCGCGGGCAGUCUGGGAACUGGGAUGGAAAGAAAGCGCCCCACCAGACUGCAGGGGUGCGGAGGCGCUGGCCCACUCGGCAAGUUCAGGGCUGGCCCUGGAUUCCAGCAGGUUUGGGGAGGAGGCGGAGGGGCGGGAGCGGAUAAUUCGCAUCGUGACUGGAAUGGUAAUUACUCACCCCCAGAGCUGCAGCGCAGAGCGGGCAGCGGCCGGGGCUGCACCAGGUUUGGCCCCGGAGCCAUUGCUGGAAAGCAGAGCUGCUGCUGCAGCGCGAGAACUUCCGCCUCGGAAAGGAGCUCGGAAACUUCACACGCGCGCUCUGCUUACUUCGGGUAACACUGGAGUCUGCUAAACACUCCACUGAUCUGGCUCUGCGCUUAAUUCUUCUGAUUUGUUAGAUAUUCACAGCGUAGGUGUGGUGUAAAGAGAAUCCAACUGCUAAGGGAUAGGAUCUUUGCGAUGGAGUCAUAAGUUUUCUUAGGUGUUUUGUGCCCUGAAGGAGUGCUGCCUUGAGGUUUGAUUUGUAACUGGUUGAAUGUUCUUAGAAUAGGUGCGGUUGGUAAAUCUUUGGGCUAAACAUUUGCAACUGGGCUAUUAGUUUAUUUCUGUCUCUUUUUUGGAAGAGAAACUUGUAAGGUCUUUAAAAAAGAAAGAGAUUCUGGUUCUUUCAGUGCUUUUUCUUACUCCAAGUGCUUUCCUCUAGGAAGUUAACUUUCCGUUGUCUCUGUAAGAUUUUUUUUUUGUUCCCACUGAUGUGAAUUGUGGCGCUUUGAAAACAAGGACCAAUUGUAUGCAUUAGGAGAGUAAACUCAUAAAUAUUUUCUAUGCAGUUAAAGUUUUUUUUUUUUAAUGUGUCUGAAGUAUGGUUUUAUUAAGUGGCUUUUGUUAAGCAACUCCCUAGUGCCUAGUAGAGAAGUUUUGUUGUUGUUGUUUUUUUUUUUUAAUUGGAUAUUUACAGUUACUAUUAAAAUCGCAAAAGGUUUAAACGACAAAUGAUCUUCAGUUAUUUUUAUAUCUUUUACAAAAGCAGAUUCUUAAGGCUUCAUAUACAGAAAUAGGUUUCAGUGGUUUAAGAAGAUAUCCAUCUGCACGUGUUAAAAGUAGGUAAUGGUGAUGUUUUUCCUUAUUACUCUUAGAGUUGUGGUGCUCCAACACAUCCAGUUACUGCAGUUACUUAGAAAAUGUGUUUCUCCAGGUCUGUAGGUUAAUUAUGAUGUUUGGCUUUGUGCUUUAGAAGGACGACUCUGGUUCCACAAGUAGAAUUAUUAUCCCCCUUUCUUUGCUAUGUAUUUAAGCUUUAUAAUGAGUGUAAAAGUAUUUAAAACAUUACAUAACUUUUAAAAGUAAUUAAUAUAACCCUAAGUUAUGUCAAACAUGGCACUUAACGCAUUCAUUGUAAGGUUUGACUUAAAUAACAUUUGUGUAUUCAUUCCUCGAAUAAUGAAUAUCUUAAAUGAGCCAAAUUCUUUGUCACUCUGAAAGGAAGUGAGAUUGUUGGAAAACGCAGAAAAUCUCUAAGGCCAUCUGUAUAUGUAUUCAUAUGUAUCUUUUAAUUAGUUACUAGAAGUACUCCUAGUGGGGUCCCAUCAUGUUAAUAGAUCAUUUAAAUCCAUGUUAUUGACAGGCGCCAAAAGAAGAAUCUAAAAAUUAUGUGCAGGAGUUGCUCUUGUGCUCAGCGGUUAACCGGAGUAGUAUCCAUGAGGAUGCAGUUUCCAUUCCUGGCCUCACUCAGUGGGUUAAGGAUCUUGUGUUGCCCUGAGCUGUGGUGUAGAUGGCAGCUCUAGCUCCGAGUCCACCCCUAGCCUGGGAAUCUCCAUAGGCCUCAGGUGUGGACCCCAAAAAGACAGAAAAUGAGAUAAAAUAAAAUAAAAAUUAUGUGCAAAGUAAUGCUGUUUUUAUUCCCCGGAUCCUGUGCCUUCCUAGUGUAGGUCUUCAGGCUUAGUUAGCUCUUGAGACAUCUCUGAAGCAGUCAUUUCUUUGAAUGUUAGAAGUGAAAGUGUUAUUACAGAUUAUUUUAACUCCCUUGUCAAGUCUACCAGCACCUGUUUCCCAACCAAGUUUGGCUGGUUUUACAUAGAAUCAGUAAACCUAAGCAAAUGAGUGCAUUCUUGUUGCAUUAAAUGUUGUCUCCCUGGCCUAAUUUGUGGCCUAAAGGACCUGCUUUGAUAGCAGGAAGCCAUAAGGCUAGGUGUCUGUUUAAUCUUUAUGAGUAGGAAAUUGCUGUAGGUAAGCUUUCUUUUGACCAAAUUAUAUAGAUGAUGAAGCCAAACUGUGUCUUUUUGUCUCACUUAAUUGUUCAAUUUGCAAGUGUUUAUCCUGAGGCACUGGUAAGGAGUUUUUGAAAUGAGUGAUGCAGGUAAUAGCUAAGAUCGCAAAGUUGUCUUUUUUUCUUGGCUCCUGACUGAGAGGAGCUCUUUAUUUCAAAAAUGUAUUCAAGCACAUGACGACUGUGUAUUUCACAUUUUUAAGUUGUUUUACAAAAAAUCUUUAAGUCCCAGAUUUAAAUAUUUUUCUAGGGGGUUCCCCUUGUGGUACAGCAGAAAAGAAUCUGACUAGUAUCACGGGUUUGAUCCCUGGCCUCGCUCAGUGGGUCAGGGAUCUGGCAUUGCUAUGAGCUGUGGUGUAGGUCACAGACGCAGCUUCGAUCCCGAGUUGCUGGGGCUGUGGUGUAGGCCGGCAGCUGUACCUCUGAUUCAACCCCUAGCCUGGAAGGGUCCAUAUGCUGUAGGUAUGGCCAUAAAAAGCAGCAAAUAAAUAAAUAAAUAUUUUGCCGAAAUUCUUGCUUUAUUCCAAAGGUUUAUUUUAUAUGUGGAGCUAAAUUUAUAAUUGUCUUCUACAGGCCACGAAGGAAAAUCAGCCAUUCUGAAAUUCUUAUCUUGCUAGAAUAGUCAAGCAUAGUGCUUAUAACAAUAAGCUCUGCAGUAGGGACACUGGCCUGGCAUCACCUGUAGCCACAUUGGAAGCAUUUUGAGGUGGGUGGUGACAUCUUUCAUAGCUGCUGGAAAUUAGAGCCAUCUCCAGGGCACCCAGUGCAGUGUUGCCACUGGCCUAGUUGUUGCACCUGGAUUUUCUGUUAGAUUUGCAAGGAUGGAUGGAUGUUCCCAUGUUACCUCUCCUUACCUCCCCGACCCUACUUCAGUCUUGCCUUCUAGUCUUAAUCUGCAUCCAUCUGUCCCCACAUGAACCCAACAACUGGGUCUCCUCUGUGCCAAACACGGGGCCAGACCCAGUAUAGACAGUUGAACAAAGCAUGUUUCCUUAUAGUCCAGUAGCGGAGAAGGACAUAUAAACAGUUGUAUCCCUUGUGAUGGGAGAGAUCCAUCAGGGUCUGGGUGGUUCAUCGUUGCACCUCCAUAAGCUGGGGAUCUGGGGUGGGUGGGUAUUAGGAUUGGGUGGGAAUCUGAGGGAAGAGUGAAUCAGGAGGGCACGAUUCAGGGAGAGCAAAUACAAGUAAAGCAAGUUGUACAAAUCUUAGUUGUGACUUGAUCUGUGGUUUGAUGAAUGGCAAGAAAAGAGACCUAAGCAUCCCGUGUUGUCUUUCGGGAGAGAGAUGGUUGGUUGGUUUAUCAUCAGUGUUUCGUUAAUUCUGUUUUCACAUGACUUAUAACUUGCCUUUUUCCUCGUUAUAGAACAUGGAAAAUCUAUGACCUGGGCUUACAUUGGCUUAUAAAGACAGAGAAGGUAACUUGUAUGGGGGAUAAGAAGAG
rnacentral:lncRNA from 1 species